UACGUAGGGGGCAAGCGUUGUUCGGAAUUACUGGGCGUAAAGGGCGCGUAGGCGGCACAGCAAGUCGGGAGUGAAAGCCCGGGGCUCAACCCCGGAAUGGCUUUCGAAACUGCUGAGCUAGAGUACAGAAGGGGCAACCGGAAUUCCCAGUGUAGCGGUGAAAUGCGUAGAUAUUGGGAAGAACACCUGAGGCGAAGGCGGGUUGCUGGGCCGACACUGACGCUGAUGCGCGAAAGCCAGGGGAGCGAACGGG
rnacentral:rRNA from 1 species